rnacentral:rRNA from 1 species
UGUGAAAUACCCAGAGCUUAACUUUUGGUAACUGCAUUUUUAACUUACCGAGCUAGAGUGUGUCAGAGGGAGGUGGAAUUCCGCGUGUAGCAGUGAAAUGCGUAGAUAUGCGGAGGAACACCGAUGGCGAAGGCAGCCUCCUGGGACAACACUGACGCUCAUGCACGAAAGCGUGGGGGAGCAAACAGGAUUAGAUACCCUGGUAG